rnacentral:tRNA from 1 species
GCCGCUCGGCGCGCGUGUCCGGCCUUCUGAGCCGUGGGCCGCAGGUUCAAGUCCUGCCGGGGGCG